rnacentral:rRNA from 1 species
GCGGCGGACGGGUGAGUCACACGUGGGCAACCUGCCCUGCAGACUGGGAUAACUUCGGGAAACCGGAUCUAAUACCGGAUAACACCGAAAACCGCAUGGUUUUCGGUUGAAAGGCGGCUUUUAGCUGUCACUGCAGGAUGGGCCCGCGGCGCAUUAGCUAGUUGGUGAGGUAACGGCUCACCAAGGCGACGAUGCGUAGCCGACCUGAGAGGGUGACCGGCCACACUGGGACUGAGACACGGCCCAGACUCCUACGGGAGGCAGCAGUAGGGAAUCUUCCGCAAUGGACGAAAGUCUGACGGAGCAACGCCGCGUGAGCGAAGAAGGUCUUCGGAUCGUAAAGCUCUGUUGUCAGGGAAGAACAAGUACCGUUCGAACAGGGCGGUACCUUGACGGUACCUGACGAGGAAGCCACGGCUAACUACGUGCCAGCAGCCGCGGUAAUAC